rnacentral:snoRNA from 1 species
AGGAUAUCCGCUGCUUGAAGAGAAAAUGUUUUAUCCAAUCCCGUAUUACUUAUAUUCGACCCCAGCGGGGAGGGGUGUGGAGAGAGCUAAGCUUUCGAUGAAGCUCCCUGCAAGGCUGGGGUUACACCAUGCCGAUAGGUCCCCUGGUGAGAGAGCCCUGGCUUUCGAUGACCCUGGGGCAACCCGGGCAUGGGACAAAGCCCCGAGAGGUCAGCCGUUUGAGAGAGCGCAGCUUUCGAUGAUAUACGGCGUUACACUCGGGGCACAGGAAU